CUGAUAAACCAGCACAGACUGCUGGAGCACAGCAGAUAGCAGCUCCAUUAAUUAGCCAGUGAAUCAGAACAGCAGCAAACUGUUGCCAGCCACAUACUGUAAACAUCAAGCAGGAAAGAUCUCAUUACGCUAAAGCUGGGAGGUUAACUAGUGGAUAGGCUUGUUAUGAUUCCCGCCUCAAUUGUUGGAGGAAUAAAAGGAACUACAAUUACAUCUCAGGUGCACGCUAAAAACUCUGCGGGUAUACUUCUGCUGCAGCUGCUGCGUGGGGAAAUGGUUUAACCUCAGAGCCUCAGGAAAUUACUUUUAGUUCCCUAAAGCGACGUCCUGACGAGAUUAAAAAACAGAACAAAGGAGACAACAGAAAGCAAAAGAGAGGGAGAAUUUCCCUUGAGAUGAAUGGCGGGAUUGCGCAGGCGCGAACGAGGUCGACUCAUUCCGGUGGAGACGGGCUGAAAAUGGCAAGUGCAAAAAAAGUGCUGCAUUUACUUAAUGGGGAAAGGAUCAAAGAUGGAUAA